GGAUUAGAUACCCUGGUAGUCCACGCCGUAAACGAUGUCAACUAGCUGUUUGUGUUCUUGAAACGUGAGUAGCGUAGCUAACGCGCUAAGUUGACCGCCUGGGGAGUACGGCCGCAAGGUUAAAACUCAAAUGAAUUGACGGGGGCCCGCACAAGCGGUGGAGCAUGUGGUUUAAUUCGAUGCAACGCGAAGAACCUUACCUGGUCUUGACAUCCCAAGAAGUCUUUAGAGAUAGAGAUGUGCCUUCGGGAACUUGGAGACAGGUGCUGCAUGGCUGUCGUCAGCUCGUGCUG
rnacentral:rRNA from 1 species